GACGAACCGAGCGAACGUUAUUCGGAAUCACUGGGCUUAAAGGGCGCGUAGGCGGGUCGUACAGUCCGCGGUGAAAUCCUCCAGCUCAACUGGAGAACUGCCGCGGAUACUCACGACCUCGAGGAAUGUAGGGGCAUCUGGAACUGGUGGUGGAGCGGUGAAAUGCGUUGAUAUCAUCAGGAACUCCGGUGGCGAAGGCGAGGUGCUGGACAUUUUCUGACGCUGAGGCGCGAAAGCCAGGGGAGGCAAACGGG
rnacentral:rRNA from 1 species